UACGUAGGGACCGAGCGUUGUCCGGAAUCAUUGGGCGUAAAGAGCGUGUAGGCGGCCUGUUAAGUCUUGCGUGAAAUCUCGGGGCUCAACCCCCGAGCGGUCGUGAGAAACUGGCAGGCUAAAGUGCGGGAGAGGAGAGUGGAAUUCCUGGUGUAGCGGUGAAAUGCGCAGAUAUCAGGAAGAACACCCGUGGCGAAGGCGCUCUCUGGAACGCAACUGACGCUGAGACGCGAAAGCGUGGGGAGCAAACAGG
rnacentral:rRNA from 1 species